UUAAUAAAACGUGAGCACAUUUUCUUUUAAUUGAGUCCUAAAUCUCGCUCACAUUUAGUCAUUUCCGACAUGCUCUCACCGCUGCUGCCUGUCGUAACUUCUGUUACUCAAGCUGUUGAGAUUCGGCUAUUGUCUGCAACAUUACAGUUCAACAUUGCAGGGUCACCUGUGGUGUCCCGCCAGCUAUGGAGCCGACUGCUGAUAGCCUGAGGGACUUCUUGAAAGAUAGAGGUGUCAGCGAAGAGUUUAUUCAGAAACUCGAAAACGAAAAGAUUGAUCCAUCUGU